GAAUCUGAACCGAACUUGACAGGUUUAGCAGAUACUAAAUGGAUAUAGUUUUAGAUAAAAAUAUAAAAAACAAAAAAUUCGACAGAUUAAAAUUCAAGUAUGGAUUUAUCUGUAUCCAACCGAAACCCGAUUUCGAUCCAAACCCGAAUUAAUUUUACAUUAUAUAAUAUAUAUAAAUAUAUGAUGUUAUAUUUAAAUUUAUAUUUUAAAAUUUUAAAUCUAAUAUAAUAUAUUUUGAAAUAUCAUAAAAUAAUAAUUAUUAUUUUAAGUUUGG
rnacentral:lncRNA from 1 species